ensembl:lncRNA
CUUUGUUAUUGUUUCAACUGCUGAUUGACGCUUUAAAGGGGGUUCAGACAAUGGGCCUGAUUCACAAACAGAAAAGAAACGUAGAAAAACGUUUUAACAUAUUUUUUUUAUCAUUGACUUUCUAAACUUUUCAGAAUGCUAAGGAAAUGCUACCUGUCUAUCAAGAAACAUUGUCAUUCUAUGACUCCUAUCCAAAGGUUGAUGAUAUCAAUGUGUAUGGGUUUUUGUGCUACGUUUUCUCACAGUGUGGGGUUUGGGAUACCACAGUGACUGAAUAUUCAUGUCACGUUGUACAAAAACCCUCAACAUAAUUUCUAUGUUCAGAACCUUAAAAGUCAACAAGGCAACCUGACUCUACUAGGCAAACAAAUUGCGCUACAGUUUUGGUAAGUAGUUAGUUCAUUAUCAUUGCAAACAUGGCAAUAUAUCUAGUUAUUUGUUCAAUUUGGUCUUAGCCUUAGUUUUACAACUUUGAUUAUGAAAGUGUGAAAAUGUAUUUUUAAAGCUUAAACAUGUUCUCGGUUGCCUUCUUGACUCUGCAAUUAGUCCCAAACUGUACUUGGAAGUGACAUAACGCUGUAAUUAUACAAACCAGAUGUAAGAGGUUUUUGUACGGACAUGUUCCACAGUGCAUCUAAACUGACAUUUGGAAAAGCCAUCAAUCUCAUUGUUGAACCCAAUGGAACUCCUGCCCGCCCAACACUGUCCAUCCUCACCCCACACCACAAGAUAGAGAAUGAUGACCAGCCUGAGGUGUGCCUGGCUACAGGCUUCUUUCCUAGGAUUGAAAACAUGAAUCUCACCCUGGGGAAUAAUGUUACUGUCCCACGCAAAACAACCAAGGCAGCUUUAUCUUCCACACGUACCUACUUCUUUGCCGGAUUCUCCAAAGAGAAUAUCAAGCGUUGUGAGAUGGAUGGCGUCGUCAAGAAGCGUGUUGAUGGUGGUUUUCCAGAUGUGUCUAACGAUAAGACCACGGCUACAACUGCUUCUGACAAUUGCGAACAUGAACGCCUCAACAAUGCUACUGCCACCAACUAUACCGAUUAUACCAAGAUGAACUUCACAUCCUUGGUUGUGUAUGGUUUGAGAGUGCUGUUUGCCAAAGCCGUGGCAUUUAAUGUGCUAUUUACUGUCAAGGCCCUGGUGUUCUAGACCUAUUUUCACUUGGACUCCUACUUUUCAGUUCUGCUUUGCAUCCAGUUUGUGAAACCUGCCUUGUGGUUUUAUCGAGAGCUUCAACAGUAUUAGUAUCUGACUUUUUCAUUGUUGAAUGCUGCAAUUCCUCUGCUUACACUUUGGAAAUACUAGAUACUAAAUACACAUGUUAUGCAUGUGAUUGUUCGGUAUUAAACAUUAGGUUACAUUUUAUAUUCUAUAUCAUUUUAUAUUGUGUUAUGUUAUUUCUAUUGACUUGUAUUAUAUCUUUAACUGCAAGUUGUCAUCAAAGUGUAUAAAGACGUCAAAAAUGAUUUCAAACAAUAAUGUAAUUGUACAUUGAUCAAGUUGUGUACGUGGAUACUUUGCAGUUGUUUCUAAAUGCACAAAACCUGUCGAUAGAGAGUUUAAACCACAUUUUCAACAGUACAUUGAAACCAUAUGAACAGCCAAACCAAAUGAACAGAUAAAGAUCUAUAAGACACCUUGACUUCCAAGAAAUGGCUCCAUCAGUUACUUUAUUUGCAUGCGUGCUCAAGAAGUAACAAUAGCGAGAAACACGCAUGAUAGUGAGAAACACACACCUUAUAAUGGUUGAUGAAUUGUAUUAUGAAAAUCAUUUGCAAUUACAUGUGUGUCUGAUAUCAGUCAAACAUUUUAUAAUCGUAUAUGGGAGCUGUAAAUGUAUUGAAAUAAACAGACACUGCUUUU